rnacentral:rRNA from 1 species
CAGAGGUCUCGAGCGUUAGUCGGAAUCACUGGGCUUAAAGCGUACGUAGGCGGAUAUGCAGGCGUCGUGUGAAAUCCCCCGGCUCAACCGGGGAACUGCACGGCGAACCGCAUGUCUUGAGACAAGUAGGGGCGGUCGGAACGAUAGGUGGAGUGGUGAAAUGCGUUGAUAUCUAUCGGAACGCCGAAGGUGAAGACAGGCCGCUGGGCUCGUUCUGACGCUGAUGUACGAAAGCGUGGGUAGCGAACGGGAUUAGAUACCCCGGUAGUCCACGCCGUAAACGAUGUGCACUAGAUCGAGGAGGUUUUGACACCGUUCUCGGUCGAAGUAAAAACGUUGAGUGCACCGCCUGGGGAGUACGGUCGCAAGGCUA